rnacentral:lncRNA from 1 species
AGGUGACAGGCAGGCAUCACAGCUGAGACCGUGAGGAGGCGCCUGGGAAGCGGAAACCUGGGAGAAAUCCAGCUAGAGCCCAAGAGCCAGGACUACCCCUCGACCUGUGAACCAUGGGGGAGAUGGAGCAGCUGAAGCAGGAGGCGGAGCAGCUCAAGAAGCAGAUUGCUGUAACCCCAGAGCCCUUAUCCUAGGGACCCUGGAGAACAGAACUCAGGACACGAAGCAGUGUGGCCUGGGAGGGGUUGGGUUCACUCUGGGGUGACACUUUAGAGUCCUCCGAUCUAGCAGGGUUCAGAGACGUUAAAUCUGGACCUCCCAUUUGAGACCACCUCCCAACUGCAGAGCCCCAUGCCCUCCCACAUGUGAGGCGCGCGUGCAUGCCCCUACCCUCCCAUAGCCUCCCUGAUGUCUGCUUUCCCCGCAGGAUGCCAGGAAAGCCUGUGCGGACAUCACUCUGGCUGAGCUUGUGUCUGGCCUGGAGGUGGUGGGACGAGUCCAGAUGCGGACACGGAGGACGUUAAGGGGACACCUGGCUAAGAUCUAUGCCAUGCACUGGGCCACUGACUCUAAGUGAGACUCCAGAGGGACCUAGAGGGGAGGGGGAGGCAGGGAAAGAGGGACAGGUGACACAGGUGCCUUUCUCCAGGCUGCUAGUAAGUGCCUCGCAGGAUGGGAAGCUGAUCGUGUGGGACACUUACACCACCAAUAAG